UACGUAGGGGGCUAGCGUUGUCCGGAAUCAUUGGGCGUAAAGCGCGUGUAGGCGGUCCGGUAAGUCCGCUGUGAAAGUCGGGGGCUCAACCCUCGGAUGCCGGUGGAUACUGUCGGGCUUGAGUACGGAAGAGGCGAGUGGAAUUCCUGGUGUAGCGGUGGAAUGCGCAGAUAUCAGGAGGAACACCAACGGCGAAGGCAGCUCGCUGGGACGGUAACUGACGCUGAGGCGCGAAAGCGUGGGAGCGAACAGGA
rnacentral:rRNA from 1 species